rnacentral:rRNA from 1 species
CCGGGAAACGUACACCACGAUAAGACAGCUGAAUGAUAGUCGGGCUGAAGACUCUACUUUGACUAGCUGAGAGGAGGUGCAUGGCCGUCGUCAGUUCGCACUGUGAAGCAUCCUGUUAAGUCAGGCAACGAGCGAGACCCACGCCAACAGUUGCCAGCUCGUCCUCCGGGAUGGUGAGGACACUGUUGGGACCGCCUCUGCUAAAGAGGAGGAAGGAAUGGGCAACGGUAGGUCAGCAUGCCCCGAAUUAUCUGGGCUACACGCGGGCUACAAUGGGUGGGACAAUGGGUAUCGACACCGAAAGGUGAAGGCAAUCUCCUAAACCCAUCCGUAGUUCGGAUUGUGGGCUGCAACUCGCCCACAUGAAGCUGGAAUCUGUAGUAAUCGUGUCUCAAAAUGGCACGGUGAAUAUGUCCCUGCUCCUU